rnacentral:tRNA from 3 species
GCGCGCAUGGCGGAAUUGGCAGACGCACCAGACUUAGGAUCUGGCGGAGCAAUCCUUGGGGGUUCAAGUCCCUCUGCGCGCA